rnacentral:lncRNA from 1 species
GGGUUGAAUUGAAGCUGUAACUGCCGGCCUACAUGACAGCCACAGCAAUGGGGGAUCCAAGCCAGGUUUACAAACUACACCAUAGCUCAUGGCAAUGCCAAAUCCCCAACCCCCUGAGGAAGGCCAGGGAUCAAACCCACAUCCUCAUGGAUACUAGUUGGAUUCAUUUCCACUGCGCCACAAUGGGAACUCCUGUGUGUGUGUACUUUUAAAGUAACUAGUAAAAGUCAUAGGAGGCAGGGAAGUAUAUCAAAAUGAAUAUGGGCUUUUAAAUCCAAAAGCUUUCAGUUCAAGCCUUGGUGCCACUCAUAAGUUCUAAGAUGGAAAUUACUUACAUUUUCUGGGUUUAAUUUCCUUCUAUGUAAAGUAAAGACAAUGUGCCAUUGUGAGCACAUUCCUACUCAAGGCUUUGGUACUUGCUGUUCCCUCUGUCUGUAAUGCUUUUCCCAUUGAUAGCCACUACUUGUUUCCUCUCAACUUUCGGUGUUUACUCAAAUGUUAUAAUCUCCAUAAGGUUUUUCCUUACCACCUGUUUAGGAUAGUUACACCUCCAACUCUCAUUAACUCCUCUUCUUAUGCUACUUCAUAUUUCUUCAAAGCACUUUCAUAAUCUGAUAUUCUAAAUUUUUUCUUAUUUUUUAUUAUCUGAUUACCCCAGCUAUAAUUUAUGCCCUAUGGCAACAGGACUUUUAUCUGUUUUUUCGCUAAUGUAUCCCCAGUGCCUCUUUUAGAACCCAAUACAUGGUAAGCACUUAAUUAACAUUUUUGAAUUAUGAGAAUUAUAUAAAGCAAUGAAUGUAAGUGCCUGAUAAUAUGCCUUUUGCAUAUAAGUAUUCAAUACAUAUUCAUGAUCACUAUUAGUAUUUAGUAAGCCACUGAUAUAUUUUCUAGGUCAGCAAGUAGUUAUUGUGCACUUAAUAGACCAAACAUAAAGAUUCAUCAGGAAAAAAAAAAAGUCUUUCUUUAGGAAGUUUCUGAAGUAAUAUUCUGGAAGAGAUAGAUACAUAAAGAGAUUCAAAGUAAUAUUAAAUGUGCAUUUAGCCCAUGUGUUAGGGAAAGUAACAUUAAUAGUUGUAACAGACAACCCCAGAAGUCUUAGGAGAUUUCCAAACAAAGUGUUACUUACUCCCAGGGUGAAGGGCAAAGCUGUGCUCCCCCUUGUCAUUCAGGAACCUAGGCUGUUUACAUCUAAUGGUAUAGCCAUCUUCAGGGCUUCCUAUUUCUCUGCAAAAGGAGAGAGAGUGUGGAAGGUCACCUGAGAGACUUUAGGGGCAGUCAUUCCUCCCACAGUCUAUUGACCAGAAUUUAGCCAAAUUUCACCGCCUAUCUCAGGGGUAGGAAAAACAAUCCAGCUGUGGUCUGGAAACAGAGGACACGAAUCGGGUGAACAUUCCAGCCAGUCACCACUCCACAAACCAAGGGAAAUUUUCAGGGAAAAUUUUCUGGAAGAGAUAGAGAAUUUUUAAUACGUGGACCCAAGAGGAUCUGAUUUCAGAUUUAGAUCACAGUUCGUUAUGACCUUAGUUAAUUUACUCAAAUAUCUCUUUGGAGUGAAAAAUGGGAAUAGUAGUAGAAUCUAAUUCAUAAACUUGCUAUGAGGAUUAAAUGUGUGGAGUCUUAAGCAUAGUGUCGAGACACAGGAAGCGUGUAAUGAAUAUUAGCUGUCAGGAAGAAGAGGAAGGAACAGAAAAGAGGAAAAGGAAACUGAGUUGGAAAACUAGACACAGAAAGGAUGGGUUAGGGAAUGAAGAAAAGGGCUUUAGACAGGCAUAGAAAUUGUGCACAGGGACAAAACAGCAACAUGUGUUCUUAAAUGUGCAGGAAGUUCAAUGUGUUUGCAGAAUAAAAUUCUGUUUACUGGAAAAUUGUGUCAGUCUGGAAGGGGUGAGAUCCCAAUAGGCCUUGAUGCCAUGAGGAGUUUUAUCUUUGAAUACAGGGAACUACUGAUAUUUUAGUCAAACAAUGUGUUUCAGAUUUGUCCUUCAGAGAAAUCUUUCUGAUGACUGCAUCAGACAACUUUAUGGUGGGAAAGCCUAGUGUUAGGGAGAGUGCUUAGGUGCUAUUACUGUCAUCUAGGUUAGAUGAGCAGAGCAGAACCACAGGUGCAGUAGAGGGGAGGGGUGCAAAACUUGUUUCAUAGAAAACAGUAAUUUGAAAGAACUAUGUUCAUUGCAGAACUAUUCACAAUAGCCAAGACAUGAAGCAACCUAAAAGUCCAUCAACAGAGGGAUGGAUACAAGAGAUAUGGUAUAUUGGAAUAUAAUGGAAUAUUACUCAGCCAUUAAAAGAAUGAAAUAAUGCUAUCUGCAGCAACAUGGAUGGGCCUAGAAAUUAUCAAACCAGUGAAGUAGGUCAGACAAAGAAAGAUAAGUGUCAUAUGAAAUCACUAAUAUGUGGAAUCUAACAAAAAUUGUGCAAAAGAAUUUAGAAAACAGAAACAUAUUCAAAGAUUUUUUUAUAAUGAUUUUUAUUUUUUUCCCAUCAUAGCUGGUUAGAUUCAAGAUUUUGUAAACAAAUUCAUGGUUACUGAAGGGGAAAUGUGGGGCAGAAGGACUAAAUUAGGAGGUUGGGAUUAACAUAUAUGCACUACUGCAUAUAAAAUAGGUAACAAGGACCUACUGUAUAGCACAAUGUAAUCUAGUCAAUACUGUGUAAUAACCUACAUGGAAAAAUUAUCUGAAAAAGAAUGGAUAUACGUAUAACUGAUGCACUUUGGUGUAUACCUGAGAUGAACACAACUUUCUAAAUCAACUAUACUCCAAUAAAAUUUAUUUUUUUAAAAAAGCCAAUGAGGGACUGUUGGCCAUGAAAAUAAAUAUAAUUAACCCAUCUGGAAAAAACCUUCACCAUUGUUACAGAAGGUUUCUGCUUGAUCAGACCAACUAGAGUAACAGGCAAAUAAAUUAAGAGAGAUUUAAAAAAAUAAAAACAAAGACUUAUUUCAUAGGAAGCUCAGUAAAAGUAGGCGACUGAUUGAAGAAAGACAUGUGGAGCAUCUCCCAGGAAUUUGGCUUGGCAACUAGGGGAACAAUUGUUGCCAAAAAUGGAGACAGACUCAAGCAUAACUCAAAAACCCCUGGGCAUAACCGCAGUCUCACCCAUUUCCUCUCAGCACUGCAUUUUAUGUGCUAGGAUUUAAUUUCCCAAAUUUGCCCAU